rnacentral:rRNA from 1 species
CUAGCAUAUCAAUAAGCGGAGGAAAAGAAACCAACAGGGAUUGCCUCAGUAACGGCGAGUGAAGCGGCAACAGCUCAAAUUUGAAAUCUGGCGCCCCCCGGCGUCCGAGUUGUAAUUUGUAGAGGAUGCUAUUGGGUUGCCACCGGUCUAAGUUCCUUGGAACAGGACGUCACAGAGGGUGAGAAUCCCGUACGUGACCGGCCAGGCGCUCUCUGUAUAGCUCCUUCGACGAGUCGGGUUGUUUGGGAAUGCAGCCCUAAAUGGGAGGUAAAUUUCUUCUAAAGCUAAAUACCGGCCAGAGACCGAUAGCGCACAAGUAGAGUGAUCGAAAGAUGAAAAGCACUUUGGAAAGAGAGUUAAAAAGCACGUGAAAUUGUUGAAAGGGAAGCGCUUGCAAUCAGUCUCGACGGCGGCUGUUCGGCCUCUCUUCUGAGUGGUUUAUUCAGUCGCCGCCGGGCCAGCAUCAGUUUCGGCGGCCGGACAAAGGCGCGGGGAAUGUAGCUCCCUCGGGAGUGUUAUAGCCCCGCGCGCAAUACGGCCCGCCGGGACUGAGGUCCGCGCUUCGGCUAGGAUGCUGGCGAAAUGGUUGUAAGCGGCCCGUCUUGAAACACGGACCAAGGAGUCUAACAUCUACGCGAGUGUUUGGGUGUCAAACCCGUGCGCGCAAUGAAAGUGAACGGAGGUGGGAACCGCAAGGUGCACCAUCGACCGAUCCUGAUGUCUUCGGAUGGAUUUGAGUAAGAGCGUAGCUGUUGGGACCCGAAAGAUGGUGAACUAUGCCUGAAUAGGGUGAAGCCAGAGGAAACUCUGGUGGAGGCUCGCAGCGGUUCUGACGUGCAAAUCGAUCGUCAAAUUUGGGUAUAGGGGCGAAAGACUAAUCGAACCAUCUAGUAGCUGGUUCCUGCCGA